ensembl:lncRNA LINC01501 long intergenic non-protein coding RNA 1501
AUUUGUCAUAGGUGUAAAAACAAUCACAACCAAAGCUUAAAGCUGUUGGGAUGAGCAGCUGCCUGGGAAUCACGCUCCUUCCUGCUCUUUCCAAAAAGCCAGGUGCCGCCGGCCAGCAUCCCGCUCCCUUUGACCCGCAGUCUGUGCGGGAAGUAGGCCCGGAGUGGUGCCAGCAGGAGGUGGCCUUAGAAAGGCGGAGACCCAAGGAGCAGAGUGAGUCGGCGUCCAGCUCCACCUGAAAGCGCCAUCUUGUCGCCACUUCCCUCAGGAGCAGCAUGCCCAGCCUCUUGCAUAGGAAGAAGUGGUAAGCUAAGGAGAGAAAUGCAGGGUUCCUAGUACACCAAUUUUCCAACUUUUUCAUCUUGGCCCUGCUUUAAAAUGAUGCAUCUACUGUCUUCAUGCCUCAGCACAGCAGAGGGUCACCUGAAUGUGGAAAAGUUGAGUUGGAGCAAAACUGGCACGGCCAUACUGGAUGGACCUCAGCAUGACCAGGACACAUUUCAGCUCAAAUCCCCUGUGCCAAGAACACAUUCUGCCAAGGACCACCACCUCUUCCCACAACUGUGAGUGGAUUUAUGUCAUCACAGGAGGUGCAAAAACGUGUGGUGAGGUAAAUGAAUUGGGAUGUCCUUGGCUGCCUGAGCAAGAGGGCAACUUUCCUGCCUUUAGAAUAGAGAAAACACAGCAGGAUAAUUAAGAGGAUGAGACUUUGGUUCCAACAGACAGUGGCUUCUCCUUCCCUAAAUUGCCCUUAUUUUGUAGUAAGUUAUAAUAUGUUUAUUUUCUACCACCUUAUUACUUCACUACGUGAACCAAAAAUAAAAUCCUAAAGCCAAC